CUUUGGGGUGUGACUGCGUACCUUUUGUAUAAUGGGUCAGCGACUUAUAUUCUGUAGCAAGGUUAACCGUAUAGGGGAGCCGAAGGGAAACCGAGUCUUAACUGGGCGUUAAGUUGCAGGGUAUAGACCCGAAACCCGGUGAUCUAGCCAUGGGCAGGUUGAAGGUUGGGUAACACUAACUGGAGGACCGAACCGACUAAUGUUGAAAAAUUAGCGGAUGACUUGUGGCUGGGGGUGAAAGGCCAAUCAAACCGGGAGAUAGCUGGUUCUCCCCGAAAGCUAUUUAGGUAGCGCCUCGUGAACUCAUCUUCGGGGGUAGAGCACUGUUUCGGCUAGGGGGUCAUCCCGACUUACCAACCCGAUGCAAACUGCGAAUACCGAAGAAUGUUAUCACGGGAGACACACGGCGGGUGCUAACGUCCGUCGUGAAGAGGGAAACAACCCAGACCGCCAGCUAAGGUCCCAAAGUCACAGUUAAGUGGGAAACGAUGUGGGAAGGCCCAGACAGCCAGGAUGUUGGCUUAGAAGCAGCCAUCAUUUAAAGAAAGCGUAAUAGCUCACUGGUCGAGUCGGCCUGCGCGGAAGAUGUAACGGGGCUAAACUGUGCACCGAAGCUGCGGCAGCGACACUCA
rnacentral:rRNA from 1 species